GAUGAACGCUGGCGGCGUGCCUAAUACAUGCAAGUCGAACGAUCGGCCGCGAAGCUUGCUUCUCUGCUGUUAGCGACGGCCUGACGAGUCACCCGUGGAUAACCUACUUAUCAUCCUGAGGUAACUUCGAGACACCAGAGCUAGUCCCGUCUAAUAUUUUGAACCACAUGGUUCACAAGUGAAAGACGGUCUUGCUGUCACUUAUAGAUGGAUCCGCGCUGCAUUAGCGAGUUGGUAAGGUAAUGGCGUACCAAGGCAACGAUGCAUAGCCGACCUGAGUGGGUGGUCUGCCAGGCUGGAACGUAGACACGGUCCAGACUCCUGCGGGAGGCAGCAACAGGGAAUCGUACGCAGUGGGCGAAAGCCUGACGGAGCAGCGCCACGUGGGGGAGGAAGGUCUGCGGUGCGGAAAACUCUGUUAUUAGGGAAGAACACAUGGGCAAGUAACUGUGCAGAGCGAGACGGUACCUAAUCAGAAAGCAACGGCUAACUACGUG
rnacentral:rRNA from 1 species